rnacentral:tRNA from 1 species
GGAAACACGCUCUCCGGUCUUCAAAACCGGCGAGAGUUAGUUUUGCUGCUCUGGUGAGUUCGACUCUCACUCCUCCG